CAUAGCCCAGACAAGAAGACAGGAGAUUGUUAUCACAUGUAUGACGCAGCCAGUACUUGCCAGAAAUUCUUGUAGCUCCUUCAGUGUUGAUGUUGACCUCUUGGCAGCCUCCCUGACAAGUUCUCUUCUCGUCUUAUUAUCAAUUUUGGACGGACGUCCUGUUCUUGCUAAUGUCACUGUUGUGCCAUAUUUUCUCCACUUGAAGGUGACGGUCUUCACUGUGGUCCAUGGCUUUCCAAAGACGUGUUCUUCAGAUUGAGGAGAUGGUCCAGUUUGGUGACUCCUUCUUUACUCAGGUUGGCCCUCAGUCUGGUAAACUGCGUGACUGGAGUCUGAAGAAUCUGUUAAAGACACAGGUUUUUCAAACAUCCACCUGAUUGGUGAUAGGUGUGUGUUUGGUGAGACAAGCCUGCCAGGCAUGCAGGCCAGAGGUGUAAAAUGGAGUCAGACCAGUUAAAAACCCUCAAGUUAAGUUCAUCAACAAUGGUCAUCAGGAAGAGCUGUUUAUCAGAGGCAAGCAACCCCACCCUUCUCAGCAGCAGGCGCAGUCCUGCUUCACAGUCAAAGAGCAACAGCUGUGCACUGUGGAGUCUGAAAGCUGCUACUUUGGACCUAAUGACUGUUAAUCCUUGCCCCACUUCAACCACAAACAGAUUGAAGGCUGCAUUCCUCACCCAGUGUUUACCAGACCAGAAAAAGUCCAGGAAGA